GAAACCUCCUUUUAUAACAUCAAGCGGGAAAGUAGCUCGACAAACUAUCUUCAAAAUAACAGAAUACGUCGAUGUAACAUCACAUGGCUAAAUGUAGCCUAAAAACGGUGCAAUCAGAAUAUUGACUAAAGGAACUUCGAAGUGUAUCGUGGCUGCAGCCGAGACUGGGAAGAAGCCGCUCCAGUAUGUUGAAAAAAAAUUUGAUGACGCUAACUAUCUCGGCGUUUUCACGUAAAAUGAGCUUUUGGAAAUAUCAUGUUGAAAAUAUAACCUGGGACUUGUCAACUCCCGAGAGAGAUAAAGAGAAGACUACAUAACAUGGAGGCAUAGGACACAUAAGUUCUUCAAGGGGACAGACACAUAUAUUAACACAGCUCAAAUCGAGGACUUAACAUUUCAUUGUGACUUUGAUAGACUCAGAGGUCAAAACAAAUUUCGGUUACCACGUAAAUAUACUUCUUCCAAAGGGAGGUAUUAUUUUAAAUUUUAUGCACCAAGAUUGUGGAACAUAUUGAAUGAUCAACUAUAUAUGUGAUGCCAGUAUUAUAAACCGUCUUGACAAUGUAAAUCAG